rnacentral:rRNA from 1 species
UACGUAGGGGGCGAGCGUUAUCCGGAAUUACUGGGCGUAAAGCGCACGCAGCGGUUCGCCAAGUUUGGAGUGACAGUUGGUGGCUUAACUGCCAAAGUGCUUCAAAAACUGGUGAACUUGAGGACGAGAGAGGAACAUGGAACUCCAGGUGUAGUAGUGAAAUGCGUAGAUAUCUGGAGGAACACCGGUGGCGAAGGCGGCAUCCUGGACCGAUAUUGACGCUGAGGCGCGAAAGCCAGGGGAGCAACGGG